rnacentral:rRNA from 1 species
CUACGGGUGGCUGCAGUCGAGAAUCAUUCGCAAUGGGGGAAACCCUGACGAUGCGACGCCGUGUGGACGAAGAAGGCUUUCGGGUUGUAAAGUCCUUUCGCCCGGGAACAAGAGAAGUAUGUUAAUAGCAUACGGAUUUGAGGGUACCGGGUAAAGAAGCACCGGCUAACUCCGUGCCAGCAGCUGCGGUAAUACGGAGGGUGCAAGCAUUAAUCGGAUUUAUUGGGCGUAAAGGGCGCGUAGGCGGAAAGAUGAGUCAGAAAUGAAAUUCCAAGGCUUAACCUUGGAGCUGUUUUUGAAACUAUUUUUCUAGAGGCUAGGCGGAGGAAAUGGAAUUCCACGUGUAGCGGUGGAAUGCGUAGAUAUGUGGAAGAACACCGGUGGCGAAGGCGGUUUUCUAGCUUAGGCCUGACGCUGAGGCGCGAAAGUGAGGGUAGCAAACAGGAUUAGAUACCCGGGUAGUC